CGAGGAGCUGCGGGGAUUGGCUGCGGCCGAAGGAAGGGCUGGAAUUCUAUUUGGCGAUUGAGCUGCCCUAGGAAUCCAGCUGGAACCGAUGAAUAAAUUCAAGUUAAGGAAUCUAAAUAACCUUCCUGCGGAUGAUACGGUGUUCCUGCUGCCAGAAAGGGCAACGUGUGAUCUACAGACCUUUAACACAUUGUGUUCUGCUUCUUCUCCUGUUACAACAUCAAUUUUCUCCAGCAAGCAUUUGGGUGAUGGCUUAGAAGAGAAAGCAGC